UACGAAGGGUGCAAGCGUUAGUCGGAAUUACUGGGCGUAAAGGGCGCGUAGGCGGCCUUCUAAGUCGAACGUGAAAUCCCCGGGCUCAACCCGGGAACUGCGUCCGAUACUGGAAGGCUUGAAUCCGGGAGAGGGAUGCGGAAUUCCAGGUGUAGCGGUGAAAUGCGUAGAUAUCUGGAGGAACACCGGUGGCGAAGGCGGCAUCCUGGACCGGCAUUGACGCUGAGGCGCGAAAGCCAGGGGAGCAAACGGG
rnacentral:rRNA from 1 species